rnacentral:rRNA from 1 species
UACGAAGGGGGCGAGCGUUGUCCGGAAUCAUUGGGCGUAAAGCGCGCGUAGGUGGCUUCGUAAGUCCGUUGUGAAAGUCAAAGGCUCAACCUUUGAAAGCCGAUGGAUACUGUGAAGCUAGAGUACGGAAGAGGCGAGUGGAAUUCCUGGUGUAGCGGUGGAAUGCGCAGAUAUCAGGAGGAACACCAAUAGCGAAGGCAGCUCGCUGGGACGUUACUGACACUGAGGCGCGAAAGCGUGGGGAGCGAACAGG